rnacentral:rRNA from 1 species
CUCAACACCUUGAGCCGGUCUCGUUUUAACACGCCUAACACAUGCAAGUCGAACAGGCAGCACAGAGAGAGCUUGCUCUCUAGGGUAGGCGACGUGGCAGAGACGUGGUAGAGAGAAUACAUCGGAAUCUACUCUAGUCAGUAGAGAGAGAGACUAACAGUAAGUAGAGAAACUUUACGCCUAAAUUACCAGGCAUUACAGACCUACAGAGAGUUGACAAAAGCAAGAGGAGAUUCUUCUGAGAACCUUUGCAGCAGAAUUUUAGAAUUUGAAAGCCCAUGAAAUUAGGUUACCAGAGAAACAUUUAUAACAUGCCUAAAAGAUUUCUNGAGGACUAGGAGAUGAGGCUUAACAAAAGUAGGCCCCCCAACCCNAA